rnacentral:rRNA from 1 species
AACGAACGCUGGCGGCAUGCCUAACACAUGCAAGUCGAACGAGAUCUUCGGGUCUAGUGGCGCACGGGUGCGUAACGCGUGGGAAUCUGCCCUUUGGUUCGGAAUAACAGUUGGAAACGACUGCUAAUACCGGAUGAUGACGAAAGUCCAAAGAUUUAUCGCCAGAGGAUGAGCCCGCGUAGGAUUAGCUAGUUGGUGUGGUAAGGCGCACCAAGGCGACGAUCCUUAGCUGGUCUGAGAGGAUGAUCAGCCACACUGGGGCUGAGACACGGCCCAGACUCCUACGGGAGGCAGCAGUGGGGAAUAUUGGACAAUGGGCGAAAGCCUGAUCCAGCAAUGCCGCGUGAGUGAUGAAGGCCUUAGGGUUGUAAAGCUCUUUUACCCGGGAUGAUAAUGACAGUACCGGGAGAAUAAGCUCCGGCUAACUCCGUGCCAGCCGCCGCGGUAA